CACGAAUCUUGGGAAACCACAGAUGAAACAGGAAGUCUGGAACAGGAAGAGGCCGGAAUCACUGCUGCAAGACCCUAUAAAGGUUUAAGACAGAUCAAGAAAAGAAGAGAAGACUUUGGAUGGGCCUAGCAGAGGUCCGCUCCGUGUCUGGAUAGUAGGCACUCAUUUGUGCACUGGGCAGCCAUCCAAGCGUCAAUGCGACCUGGAGGACAGCAGCUGGGCUUUUCUUCUUCUAAAGUGGUGCU